rnacentral:lncRNA from 13 species
AAUGAAGGAUGAGAUUGGACUUCUCAGUGUGUGUCCAGAACAAGGAUGGAGAGGCUCAGCAGCACUGACAGGACCUCCUCAUGAAAUGGAAGCACAUCCAGGCUGGAGGCCCCUGUGUUCCAGGUGCUGUGUCGGUGCUGACCUGCCCGGUGACUCCAUGAUGGCUUCUGUCUUCAAGGUCACCAUCAACUGAAACAGACUGAAGAGACACUCAGGAUCCUGGACCAGCUGAAGCCAGGGGAGGAAGCACCCCGGCAGAUCACCUGCUGAUGGAAAGGCAGGCACCAUGAUAGUUAAGUGUUUACAUGUUGGCUACCUGGUUUCUUUUCAGCCAGUCUCAGCUUUGGUUGGUUUGUAUGAUUGCCUCAAAUCUUCGGAGGUCACCCUUACUUUUUAUUUGGAAUGUGUUCCCCGCUCUAGAGGACUGAAUCAGAGAGAUUGCUCUGCAUUCUUGAGGGGUUCCAUUUUGACCCUGCUCAUCCUCAGUAGACAGGGAGCUAUUCCAAGCAUGGACUUGCAGGUCUGGGGACCUUGGACAGCAUACAAAUCGAGAGAAAAGCAUCAGUGGGGAAAAAACUUUGUUCUGGGAGG